GUGCUUGCUUUGGCAGCACAUAUACUAAAAUUAGAACGAUAUAGAGAAGAUCACCAUGGCCCCUGUGCAAGGAGGACAUGCAAAAUUGGUGAAGUGUUCCAUAUUUUA
ensembl:snRNA U6 U6 spliceosomal RNA